rnacentral:miRNA from 1 species
UGUUCUUGUGAGCCUCCUAACAGUGGGAGUAGGAGCUGUCUCUGGCUCUUUUGCCUGCUUUUAGGACCCGUUCCUC